GCCAGGGAUGGUGGCACACGCCUGUAAUCCCAGCUACUCGGGAGGCUGAGGCAGGAGAAUCGCUUGAACCCGGGAGGUGGAGGUUGCACUGAGCAGAGAUCUCAUCCAGCCCGGGCUGGAGUGCAAUAUCUCUGCUCAGUGCAACCUCCACCUCCCGGGUUCAAGCGAUUCUCCUGCCUCAGU
rnacentral:SRP_RNA from 13 species